GGGCUAUUAGUGUAGUGGUAGCAUACAUGCCCCGGAAGCAUGUAGCCCAGGUUCGAUUCCUGGAUAGCCCGC
rnacentral:tRNA from 1 species